UUCCAGCUUCAUGAGGGCGAGUUACAGCCCUCAAUCCGAACUACGGUUGGGUUUAGGAGAUUACCGUCCCUUUUCAGGGUAGGUGCCCAUUGUCCCAACCAUUGUAGCCCGCGUGUAGCCCGGGAGAUUCGGGGCAUACUGACCUACCGUAGCCCGUUCCUUCCUCCGCUUUAGCAGCGGCGGUCCCCACAGUGUACCCAUCGUUCCGGAGAACAUGCUGGCAACUGUGGGCGCGGGUCUCGCUCGUUGCCUGACUUAACAGGAUGCUUCACAGUACGAACUGACGACGGCCAUGCACCUCCUCUCAGCGAUUCAGGUAAGACCUUCAGCCUGACCUACAUAUUGCUGUCGCACCCGGUGAGUUUUCCGGCGUUGAAUCCAAUUAAACCGCAGGCUCCACCCGUUGUAGUGCUCCCCCGCCAAUUCCUUUAAGUUUCAGCCUUGCGACCGUACUUCCCAGGUGGCUCGCUUAACGGCUUCCCUGCGGCACCAAACACGGUCGCACCGUGUCUGACACCUAGCGAGCAUCGUUUACAGCUAGGACUACCCGGGUAUCUAAUCCGGUUUGCUCCCCUAGCUUUCGUCCCUCACCGUCGGACCCGUUCUGGUAAGGCGCCUUCGCCACAGAUGGUCCCCCAGGGAUUACAAGAUUUCACUCCUACCCCUGGAGUACCCCUUACCUCUUCCGGUCCCAAGCCUGACAGUAUCCCUUAGAAGCCUGACAGUUAAGCUGCCAGAUUUCCCAAAGGACUUAUCAGCCGGCUACGGACCCUUUAGACCCAAUAAAAACGGCUA
rnacentral:rRNA from 1 species